UAGGGAAUCUUCCACAAUGGACGCAAGUCUGAUGGAGCAACGGCCGCGUGAGUGAAGAAGGUUUUCGGACCGUAAAGCUCUGUUGUUGGUGAAGAAGGAUAGAGGUAGUAACUGGCCCUUUAUUUGACGGUAAUCAACCAGAAAGUCACGGCUAACUACGUGCCAGCAGCCGCGGUAAUACGUAGGUGGCAAGCGUUGUCCGGAUUUAUUGGGCGUAAAGCGAGCGCAGGCGGAAGAAUAAGUCUGAUGUGAAAGCCCUCGGCUUAACCGAGGAAUUGCAUCGGAAACUGUUUUCUUGAGUGCAGAAGAGGAGAGUAGAACUCCAUGUGUAGCGGUGGAAUGCGUAGAUAUAUGGAAGAAUACCAGUGGCGAAGGCGGCUCUCUGGUCUGCAACUGACGCUGAGGCUCGAAAGCAUGGGUAGCGAACAGGAUUAGAUACCCUGGUAGUCCAUGCCGUAAACGAUGAGUGCUAAGUGUUGGGAGGCUUCCGCCUCUCAGUGCUGCAGCUAACGCAUUAAGCACUCCGCCUGGGGGAGUACGACCGCAAGGUUGAAAC
rnacentral:rRNA from 1 species